UCUGCCCAGGCUGAACCGGCCCUGACGCAGGUGGACAGGCUGAUCAUCUGCGUGUUUCUGGAGAAGGACGAGAACAUCUACCGGCAACGGCUUCCGUACUACUUCCCGGUCGCCUGACGGCACCCGCCACCCACCCUGACCAGGACUGACUCGUCGGGGCCUGCUGGACCUCGCUCGCAGCUCUAAGUCGGGGAAGCCUGCAGCUGGGCCUGGCCUGGCCACCCUGUUCUUUCCUUCUGCUCCCUGCUCGCCCCCCGAGGAGACUCCUAAUAAAGACCACGAG
rnacentral:lncRNA from 1 species